rnacentral:rRNA from 1 species
GAAGUGGAGGAGCUACCAUGCAGUCGAACGGUAACAGGAAGCAGCUUGCUGCUUCGCUGACGAGUGGCGGACGGGUGAGUAAUGUCUGGGAAACUGCCUGAUGGAGGGGGAUAACUACUGGAAACGGUGGCUAAUACCGCAUAACGUCGCAAGACCAAAGAGGGGGACCUUCGGGCCUCUUGCCAUCAGAUGUGCCCAGAUGGGAUUAGCUUGUUGGUGAGGUAACGGCUCACCAAGGCGACGAUCCCUAGCUGGUCUGAGAGGAUGACCAGCCACACUGGAACUGAGACACGGUCCAGACUCCUACGGGAGGCAGCAGUGGGGAAUAUUGCACAAUGGGCGCAAGCCUGAUGCAGCCAUGCCGCGUGUAUGAAGAAGGCCUUCGGGUUGUAAAGUACUUUCAGCGGGGAGGAAGGUGUUGUGGUUAAUAACCGCAGCAAUUGACGUUACCCGCAGAAGAAGCACCGGCUAACUCCGUGCCAGCAGCCGCGGUAAUACGGAGGGUGCAAGCGUUAAUCGGAAUUACUGGGCGUAAAGCGCACGCAGGCGGUCUGUCAAGUCGGAUGUGAAAUCCCCGGGCUCAACCUGGGAACUGCAUUCGAAACUGGCAGGCUUGAGUCUUGUAGAGGGGGGUAGAAUUCCAGGUGUAGCGGUGAAAUGCGUAGAGAUCUGGAGGAAUACCGGUGGCGAAGGCGGCCCCCUGGACAAAAGACUGACGCUCAGGUGCGAAAGCGUGGGGAGCAAACAGGAUUAGAUACC